GUCGGCGGAUGUCCUGCAAUCGUCCAGACGGCCGCUGGGACCUCGGGCCAGAGCCAGGCGAGGCUGGGCCCAGUCCUCCGCUUACCCGGCCGGCGCGCGGCUCCCAGGAGGUGCUUUACGGCAGCGUGUGCGAAGCGCAGCGCCAAGUACUGGAGAGGGAGUUAGAAAGGUAGGAUCGCCCUUCCCACCCCUGAAAGGUGUCCAUAUCCGGAAUUGGUAAACCCUUUAAUCCUCAUUUGAGGGGUCCAGUAAGCAGCAGUAUCUUCAGAAAAGCGAAGGCCCUCACCGGACAGCUGCAGAAUGGAGAUCAAAGACUUGAUGAUUCUACUGGCCCAGGAUGUUCACAUGUUCAAGUGAAGGAGGGAGGAGUCCCCGAAAGACUCCUGAACACACAUGGCCAGACCACAUGGAAAACCAGAACUCGGGCACCCACACCCUGCAGACACCUGCCCAGGAAAUCAACUCCUCAUCUACGAUAAACCCAGGAGCAGCCAGAGAAAGUCGAAUAUGCGCCCCCAGCCAAUCAUACAGGAUGCCCGGCUUCUAGGCACCUGCCUUCCGGCUUCCCCACGCCAACGGCCUCCAGAGGAGGCACCAGGCACCUGAAUCUUCCCCGCUUCUCUGCUACAAAUAAAGUGUCCCCACCCCUUCACCAGG